AAAGAGCAAUUCCUGUUCCUGUAAUUGAGACAAAGCCCUGACCACUCGACCAAGAAGAUGGACUACCGCCUCGAGGAAGACGCCGCACCUCCUUCACUCCAAGCCGGCCACCACCAAGCCUCGACCCGCCGACGGCACCGAGUCCCAGCAAACCUUUCCGCGGACCGCUUAUCUUCUUUCCCCCGCCGAGGACCCCGGACUUCAGACACGCCGCCGCCGCGGCUGGACAGCUGGAACCUUUUCCCCCCUCCAACAGAUUUUAGACUACUGGAAAAGAAACGCCUCACAUCAACAACAACAUAGGACCACUAGGGUAAGUCUACAAAAAACCUCUCAAACACCUCAAAAUUACUCUAAACAGUUACAGAAUAGCAACUACCAAACUAGCAUACAACUAAAACUUCACAGCACCAAAACUAAAUAGGACUAAAAUAGCUACAAUUGGCUACAGGGCACAACACGGAAGUUGAUCGACUCCGUGGGGCCUUCCUUGAAUGAGGAUAUCUAGUGUUAAAACGGCCGAAACAUCCGAUGAUUUCGGGGUUCACUACUGAGGACGUGUCCUGAAAUUUAAUGUCCAAUACCAGCGCUGGGUCAAUGUAAUGGUUUAUUUGAAGAAUUUUUCAAACAAAUAAGAUUUUCCAAAAUAAUUAAUCAAGCACUUACCUCAACACAAUCUGGUCCUCUGGUCUUCUAUUUUGAGUGUUGGUUUAUCCUGGUGCAUGAAUAAAGGUCCAUAAGACCCGCACCUUUUAUGGUUUACUUUAAUUUCUACUCUAACAUAGCAUUUCAGCAUUUGUCCAUUUACCAAACUCGUAUUUCCCACCUCUUGAUCCCAGGGUCCAGUUUUUUACAGUUUCCUUUUUUCACCUUUUCGUUUUUGCCACUCUCGUAUUUCCCACUUUCUAAUUUGGUAAACAUUGUACAUUCCAUAUUUUAUCCCAGUUUUUAUUUUUUAUUUUUUAUUUUUAUUUUUAUUUUUAUUUUCCUAUUAAUUUCCCCCUACCUUUAUAUUGUACCUGUUUUGAACAAAUAAAAAAUGUUUUGGAACAACUAUACACUCAAUUUUUAUUCCACCUUUUUUUCUCAUACUAAUUUACUUUAUAAUUCAAUUUUGUGUAUUUAUAUCACCAUUUUUUUAUUAUUUAAAUUUGCGAUUUAAAUAUAAUACAUUUGGUUCCAGUGCAAUCAAAAUUACAGUUUUCCUUUGUUAUACAUAAGUCAACACUAUUUUCUCUCAGUUUUACUGUAAUAUCAAUUCAAUGUUGGGUAUAACUUUAACAGUUCCUGUUUGUACUUUUUAACAAAAUAAACAGUGUAGAAAGUGAUGACACAAUUUUAUACAACAUUCUAAUUUACACCCGUAAGCAACAAUUUGGGAGCUAACCUUACUAAUUAAACUCAAAAUUGUUUAACUCAUGGAUUACAACUUUAGAAUAGUCCAAUACCUAAAUAAACUACAAUUCCAACUCACUUUCUAACUCUGAAAUAAUAAUUUACAGUGAACCCUAGGUCCUAUAAUCUAUAAAUAAUCUAUAAAAAAAAUCUCCACUUAACUCCAUACUUAUCCAUCUAAAACAAUGCAACCUUCUGAAAAGUCGAUACUCUGGACCAAUAAUUCUAUUUAUUGAUCAAAAAUUAAUAAUAUAACAAAAUUAAAUUAUGCAAUUAUUAAUGAAAUUGACACUUUUGACUCUGAAAUAAUAAUUUCCAAAUAAUAAUUUAUAACUAACCUUCAAGAUUUAUUUUAGAUCACAGCGUUAGGGAGUUCAGCAGAGUCUAUGGCCUAGACAGGCCUGAGUGGAAGGGGUUCCAGACAGAACCGUCCACUUUUGAUUCUGAAUAAUAAUUUAUAAAUAAUAAUUAAUAAAUAUCUCCGAUUUAAUCUAAAAUAAUUUUAGGUCACAGUGUUAGGGAGUUUAGCAGAGUCUGUGUCCUAGACAGGCCUGGGUGGAAGGUAUUCCAGACAGAACCAUCCACUUUUGACUCUGAAUAAUGAUUUAUAAAGAAUAAUUUAUAAAUAUUUCCAAUUUAAUCUAAAAUAAUUUUAGGUCACAGCCUUGAGGGAGCUUAGCAGAGUCUAAAGCCUAGACAGGCCUGAGUGGAAGGGCUUCCAGACAGAACCAUCCACUUUUGACUCUGAAAUAAGAAAUAAUAUAUUUUGAAAUAAUUUAUAAAUAUUUGCAAUUAAAUCUUAAAUAAUUUUUAAUCAUAGCCUUGAGGGAGCUUAGCAGAGUCUAUGGCCUAGACAGGCCUGAGUGGAAGGGGUUUCAGACAGAACCAUCCACUUUUCACUCUGAACAAUAAUACUUUAUAAAUAACAAUUAAUAAAUAUCUCCGAUUUAAUCUAAAAUAAUUUUAUGUCACAGUGUUAGGGAGUUUAGCAGAGUCUAUGACCUAGACAGGCCUGAGUGGAAGGGGUUCCAGACAGAACCAUCCACUUUUGACUCUGAAAUAAGAAAUAAUACAUUUUGAAAUAAUUUUGAAAUAAUAAUUUAUAAAUAUCUGCAAUUUAAUCUAAAAUAAUUUUAGGUCACAGCGUUAGGGAGCUUAGCAGAGUCGAUGGCCUAGACAUGCCCGAGUGGAAGGGGUUCCAGACAGAACCGUCCACUUUUGACUCUGAAUAAUAAUUUAUAAAGAAUAAUUUAUAAAUAUUUCCGAUUUAAUCUAAAAUAUUUUUAGGUCACAGCGUUCGGGAGUUUAGCAGAGUCUAUGGCCUAGACACGCCUGGGUGGAAGGGGUUCCAGACAGAACCAUCCACUUUUGACUCUGAAUAAUAAUUUAUAAAGAAUAAUUUAUAAAUAUUUCCGAUUUAAUCUAAAAUAAUUUUAGGUCACAGCGUUAGGGAGUUUAGCAGAGUCUAAAGCCUAGACAGGCCUGAGUGGAAGCGGUUCAAGACAUAACUGUCCACUUUUGACUCUGAAUUAAUACUUUCUAAAUAAUAAUUCAUAAAUAUUUCCAAUUUAAUCUAAAUAAUUUUUAGGUCACAGCGUUAGGGAGUUUAGCAGAGUCUAUGGCCUAGACAGGCCUGGGUGGAAGGAGUUCCAGACGGAACUGUCCACUUUUGACUCUGAAAUAAUACUUUAUCAAUAACAAUUUAUAACUAACCUUAUAUUUUAUACUUCAAUUUCAUUACUUCCAACCAUAGCUUUGCUACCUUUAACAGAGUCCAGAGUCUAGACAAUCUGAAGUGUCGUAUUCCUUAAUGAAUUUCAAUUCUUCCAAAUAGCCACGGUUAGCUCCCUACAGACACUAACCCUUACCUUACCCUCACCCUAACCGUAACCCUCUAGAACCUAUAUCUAACCCUAACCCUAACCCCUAACCCUAACCCUAACCCUAACUCCUACCCCUAACCCUAGCCUAACCCUAACCCUAACCUCUAAACCCUAAAUCUAACCCUAACCCCUGACCCUAACCCUAACCUCUAAACCCUAACCCCUAACCCUAACCCUAACCUCAAACCCUAAAUCUAACCUUAACCCCUAACCCUAACCUUACUAACCUCUGUCUUAGCUUAGUCACCCCACCCUCUUUUUUCAUAUCAGAGGAUGAAAACCAACAGGUGAGGAGAGUUUCUCUGGCUAGUCACUGUGGCAAGUUCUAUUCUCUCUCUAUCACUCGAAUCCCUGUAGAAGCAGAAUGGUUGCAGUCCCAACAACCUGUUUCUCUAUCCCCCAUCCUCUGAGACUUUGCACUAAUGCACCCUAACCCUACUCCUAUAGAUAAAAUUCACCCUAUUCCCUCCCUACUAACACCACCUAGUCCUUCUCAAUAAGAAAAAUUAUUAAGUGGAAAUGCUGAUUAAGCAUUUCCACUUAUUGUUCUUCCUGUCGGCCAUUUUUCUUUAUUAUUAUUAUUAUUAUUAUUCUUCCGCCAAUUUUCGUCCGCUUCUAACUCCUUCCUGCUUUGUGCUAUUUAAACCGUUCAAACUUUAAACUAUUCCACUCCUUCAGGACAUGAGGGCUCGUACUUUUUACCUUUCUACCCUUUAUACUUUUUGUUUUUUUUAACUUUUUGUGCAAAAAUUUUAACAUUGAAGUCAAUGGGGAAAUCUUCCAAUUCUUCCUUUUCUUCUUCCACCUUCUAAACCUUAAAACUUCAGCAUACUUUCACCUAGAGACCUCAUUUUUGCUUUAAAAUGUUCAUUCACUUGUCGACUAUUAAACUUGUAUACAAUUUUUUUAUAUCUCCUACAGUUUUUCCACAAUUUAGCUUUAAGCAACUCCUGGUUUUCAGCAAAUUUCAGGUUUUAUAAUGGGUGUGUAUUGGAGAGGCUAGAGUGAUGAUGUCAUCGCUAGAGUGGACAGCUCCCCUUUUUUGGACAGAACCUCACUCGAAUAUAUCCCUCCCACGCCCAAAAAUUUCACUCCACAGCCAUCAAAAUUCAUCAAAAUGGAGGUAUAUGUGUCCUGCUUCUCACAAAAGAGAUUUCAAAUCAUUAAAUCAUACCCCUUAGCCAGCAGGUGACCAACUGUCCAAUUAGGCGGAAAUCUCUCCCAUUAGCCCUAAUGUAAUUUUUCUCCAAGAAAAUCCUUAUCGUCACUCAGGCUCAGACUUUUUUAACUCGCUGUUGUGGCCACAUUUUUUGGAGUACAGACAUGAAAAACACAUGAUUGUGUUCAUGAAAGGCGGAGGAUUCGUACGAUGUUCUUAUUUUCAUUCUGGGAUUUAAGGAAAUUACGCUAUGGGAAGAAGUUCAGAGGCCCUAAAUUCACUGCAUUUCAGCAGCUUCUCAAACAGUAGGUCAGGUAAUGCCUAUGAUGUAUAACACCUGUUAAAUGCAUUAAUUAACAGACACACACGCGCACACACACACACAGCCAAUGUGUGUGCGUCAGUCUCUUUCUCUCUAUGAGACCUUCAGGUACACACAGUAAAUAUGUGUAUGCUUGAGUCUCUGUCUAUGAGACCUACAUGCACACACUAUGACCAUGUGUUUGCUUCGCCACCUAUCUUCUCCCACAAACUUUGAGUUACAGAGACAUUUAGGGCUUCAAAAAUUCAGCUCAAUGAGGACAUUAUGGAGUCUACAGAGGAUUUCUAUUCAUUUAAAUCUUUUUUAAAAAUCAUUCUCAUUAUUUAUGCAUUAUUCCAUUUUUCGAACAAAUUUAAACUCAUUCUAACUGAUUCAAACCUCUCUGAUUCUUCAACCCUUUCUAAUACUGAAGGAAUUUUUUAAUAGUUAUAUUUUCCCCAUUUUUAAUCAUUGUCACUAUUCAUGCAUAUUUCAAUUCUUCAAACAAAAUCCCACUUCCACUUCUACAACUACUACUUACAUCACUUCUACUUCAACUAGUCUUGCUACCGUUAAUACUAGAAAAUAAUUCAAAUGAAUUGAUUGAACCACUGCCUUUCCGUUGUGUAAAGUAUGACAUUUCCGAGUGUCCCUGAACGCCUCAAACAUUUCUACCGUGACUCACUGGUGGCUCGCGCUAUCCUUCUCCGACCUCGACGAAGGUGAGUCAGAGCACAGUCUCUCUAACGUCUAAACACUUCAAACGGCGAUUUAACGUUUCAAAAUUGCACUGGUUUCUGUUAUAAUCGACGAAGAGUUUAUUCAUGAUUGAAGUGGUCGAGAUGUUGACUUGAAAAAGCUUACGCUAACACUGUUAGCGUCGAGCUAAAGCUAAGAUACUGUCAGUUAUGAGGCUGAAUCAUUAGCCAGCUGAGAAAUGCACAAAAUAAAGUGAAUAUGUAAGCCGCUGCGGUACUAUACAGCAUGCCAAAUGAUGUACAGGCUGUAGAGUUUACUGACAAUGGGACUGACAAGAAUACUCAUUCUGUCAAGUAUUAACUGACUUACUAGCUAACUACUGACGCUAGCGCCAUUGCUACAGGUUCAGUUCAUUACUGUGACUGAGUCAUUGCUGGGGAACUGGUCUGGAGACGUCAGCUGUUUAGCUCCUGGUCACUUUUUAUCAGUCAUUUUAGAUGUAUUAAAAAUAUAGGCUGCAUUUAGCAAGCAUCCAGGUAUAACACGUUUGUGAGUGUUUUUUCUUUUUUUAUGUGUCAGAAUGGCGCUAGAUGGUCCUCUAUUAUUGAAGGUUUUAUUCAUGAUGGGGAUGAUCAAGAUAUUUAGAUUGCAAAACAUAAAAUUAAUUCAGUAUUUCAUGUUUAACAAUAUGAUGUUCCAAUUAAUAAAUAUAGUUCUAUUGAAUUUCCCUUUAGGGAUCAAUAAAGCUUUUCUUAUCGAAAUAGUGAGUUAAUGGAUGGAUAGUUAGCUGCCUUGAAGUUGGUGAACCUGCUCCUGGUCUGUCUCUGUCUUACUGGCUGCUACUGAACUUCACCUUCUACUGCAUCUAAUUUACCUUUGCUAACAAGCUGUUAAUUUGGAUAUUGGUGAUGUGUUAACACCACAGCAAAGAUACUUUAUCUGAGGUAUAAAUACUUUAAUACAGACAUGUUAAGCCACAGCUAACAGCCAGGUGAUCUGUUGGAGCUGUUUAGUUUUCAGUUAGCCCAAAUACUGUAACAAUGUUAGUUUUCUUUAUAGGCCUAUUGUUUUCAAUGUACUAUCUGUCAGACAACACUAAUGUAUUGUUUCUUUUCUCAAACAAACAGAAGAUACAUACACUCCAGUGCAUUUGUUGGUA